rnacentral:misc_RNA from 1 species
AGGGAAUGCGGUGCGAUCCUCCAAAGGAUCAAUGCCGCGGCUGCCCCCGCAACUGUAAUCGGCGAGCCACUGCAAACGAGCCACUGGGCAAACCCGGGAAGGCAGCAGGCGGUCAGGACCCGAGAGCCAGGAGACCUGCCGUCGACAAAAAU